UUCCAUCUAAGAUUGAUCUAUUAAGAAAUUCAUCUCUAUAAACGAUUUUGUGUUGCUGCAAAUUUUCGUCAUAACCCGCUGAAAUUUCUCGAUGAGAAUUCUACAAUCGCAACUUGCACCAAUUUCCUUGCUGUUAUACUGCCGAAAUUUUCUUGAUUAAAUUAGAUAUCCUUGCUGUCAUAUAAACUGUGAUUUUGCUAUCAAUUCCCU
rnacentral:lncRNA from 1 species